rnacentral:rRNA from 1 species
AGCAGCCGCGGUAAUUCCAGCUCCAAUAGCGUAUAUUAAAGUUGUUGCAGUUAAAAAGCUCGUAGUUGAAUUUCGGGAUCAAAGGAUCGGUCAUGCCUUGGUAUGUACUGGUUUUAUUGGUUCUCACCUUCUAAAGAACCAUAAUGUCAUUCAUUUGAUGUUAUGGGGAAUUAGGACUGUUACCUUGAAAAAAUUAGAGUGUUUAAAGCAGGCUUACGCUUGAAUACAUUAGCAUGGAAUAAUGAAAUAGGACAUCAGAUUCUAUUUUGUUGGUUUCUAGGAUCGAUGUAAUGAUUAAUAGGGAUAGUUGGGGGCAUUAGUAUUCAAUUGUCAGAGGUGAAAUUCUUGGAUUUAUUGAAGACUAACUACUGCGAAAGCAUUUGCCAAGGAUGUUUUCAUUAAUCAAGAACGAAAGUUAGGGGAUCGAAGACGAUCAGAUACCGUCGUAGUCUUAAACCAUAAACUAUGCCGACUAGGGAUCGGAUGAUGUUAAUUUUAUAAUGACUCAUUC